rnacentral:snRNA from 1 species
GGAUAUGAGAGCGAUCUGGCUGCGACAUCUGUCACCCCAUUGAUCGCCAGGGUUGAUUCGGCUGAUCUGGCUGGCUAGGCGGGUGUCCCCUUCCUCCCUCACCGCUCCAUGUGCGUCCCUCCCGAAGUUGCACGCUCGGUCGAAGAGGACGACCAUCCCCGCUAGAGGAGGACCGUUAUUCGGUCAAGGGUAUACAAGUAGCUGCGCUCCCCUGCUAGAACCUCCAAACAAGCUCUCAAGUAGACAGUUAUGCCAAAUAAACCAGGAAGACAUACAGAGACAAA